AAAUUCCAGCUGCCGAGAAAAGCCGCUAUUGUGUAUCAUGUGCCCGUACCGUAAACCGACACAGGUGGAUGAGGAGAGAAUCCUAAGGCCGGCGGGAGAAGCAUUGUUAAGGAACUCGGCAAAAUGACCCCGUAACUUCGGGAUAAGGGGUGCCAGAGAGAUCUGGCCGCAGAGAAUAGGCUCAAGCAACUGUUUAGCAAAAACACAGGUCUAUGCGAAACCGUAAGGUGAUGUAUAUGGGCUGACGUCUGCCCGGUGCUGGAAGGUUAAGGGGAGAGGUUAGAGCAAUCGAAGCUUUGAAUUGAAGCCCCAGUAAACGGCGGCCGUAACUAUAACGGUCCUAAGGUAGCGAAAUUCCUUGUCGGGUAAGUUCCGACCCGCACGAAAGGCGUAAUGAUUUGAGCGCUGUCUCGACAAUGCACCCGGUGAAAUUGAAAUACCAGUGAAGAUGCUGGUUACCUGCGCCAGGACGGAAAGACCCCAUGGAGCUUUACUCCAGCUUGAUACUGGGAUUCGGUAAUGCAUGCACAGGAUAGGUGGGAGGCUACGAGUACGGAACUCCGGUUUCGUAUGAGCCGCUGUUGGGAUACCACCCUUGCGUUACUGGGUUUCUAACCAUGGUCCAUGAUCUGGAUCGGGGACAAUGUCAGGUGGGGAGUUUGACUGGGGCGGUCGCCUCCGAAAGGGUAUCGGAGGCGCUCAAAGGUUCCCUCAGAAUGGUUGGAAACCAUUCGAAGAGUGCAAAGGCAGAAGGGAGCUUGACUGCGAGACCGACGGGUCGAGCAGGUAGGAAACUAGGACUUAGUGAUCCGGUGGUAUGAAAGUGGGAUUGCCAUCGCUCAACGGAUAAAAGCUACCCUGGGAUAACAGGCUUAUCACUCCCAAGAGUUCACAUCGACGGAGUGGUUUGGCACCUCGAUGUCGGCUCAUCGCAUCCUGGGGCUGAAGUAGGUCCCAAGGGUUGGGCUGUUCGCCCAUUAAAGCGGUACGCGAGCUGGGUUCAGAACGUCGUGUGACAGUUCGGUCCCUAUCCGGCGCAGGCGGAGGAUAUUUGAGAGGAGCUGUCCUUAGUACGAGAGGACCGGGAUGGACGGACCGCUGGUGUACCGGUUGAGCUGCUAAGCUCAUGGCCGGGUAGCCAAGUCUGGCAGGGAUAAACGCUGAAGGCAUCUAAGCGUGAAGCCCCCCUCAAGAUGAGAUAUCCCAUUCGAAAGAAGUAAGACCCCUUGAAGACGACGAGGUAGAUAGGGCAGAGGUGGAAGUGCAGUAAUGUACGGAGCUGACUGUUACUAAUCGGUCGAGGGCUUAUCU
rnacentral:rRNA from 1 species